UGGAGUGACUGGAUGGAGCACGCCGCGUGUGUGAUGAAGGGUUUCGGCUCGUAAAACACUGUUGUAAGAGAAGAAUGACAUUGAGAGUAACUGUUCAAUGUGUGACGGUAUCUUACCAGAAAGGAACGGCUAAAUACGUGCCAGCAGCCGCGGUAAUACGUAUGUUCCAAGCGUUAUCCGGAUUUAUUGGGCGUAAAGCGAGCGCAGACGGUUAUUUAAGUCUGAAGUGAAAGCCCUCAGCUCAACUGAGGAAUUGCUUUGGAAACUGGAUGACUUGAGUGCAGUAGAGGAAAGUGGAACUCCAUGUGUAGCGGUGAAAUACGUAGAUAUAUCCCCAGCCUCUCCUACUGCUA
rnacentral:rRNA from 1 species